rnacentral:lncRNA from 1 species
UCCAAGAAUUUACAUUCCUUUGUGUUAUUUUUUUCCUUCUCAGGAGUUUUUGUGAUACUCUCCAGUGAAACCCAGAACCCCUGUUUGCUGAAGGCUGCUUUCAGCUGUUGACAUCACCCUGAGAAAAGGUGGACUUCUGAAAUCAGGGUAGCAUUAGGAGGUUCUGGACCCUGAGGAUCUUCUGAAGAGCAAUGCUAAGACAACCUUUCGCUUAAGGAAUUAAAAAGAAAUAUCACUUCAU